rnacentral:rRNA from 1 species
AUGCUUUCUCGGUCGAUCGGCGUUGAUGUCGAGUAUACCAGGGAAGACGAACCUCCGCAAAUGGCUGCAGUUCUGCAGUUAUGCGUGGAGGAUCUCGUCCUGGUAUACCACAUCAUCGUGGCAACCAAAUGGCCCAAGGAACUCCGUCCGCUCCUGCAGGAGAAGAAGCUGUACACCUUUGUUGGCUUCUCCAUUGGAGGUGACAAGGAGAAGCUGAAGUUGUCUGGUUUGGAGAUCAACCCCGACAAGUACGUUGACAUGCAGCGCAAAUGGAGAGUUCCAAAUGAUGGAAAGAAGUGGCAGUCUUUGGCUGAGUUUGCAGCCAACCUCAUCCACCCAUCCUACAAGGAAAUGAUGCAGAAGAUCAACAAGAAAUUGGACCACAAACUAUGGGGGGACAGCCCACUGCCAAACAACCUCAUCGAGUAUGCAGCGAAAGAUGCGUACGUCACCUACGAGGCAUGGAAGAAAAUCGAAACCAUCAAAGAAGGUUUGAAGCAAUGGCAAGAGGCGGAGGAUCAUUGGGAUGACCCCUACUAUUGGGGAUAUUGA